rnacentral:misc_RNA from 1 species
GAUGAAGAACGCAGCGAAAUGCGAUAAGUAAUGUGAAUUGCAGAAUUCAGUGAAUCAUCGAAUCUUUGAACGCACCUUGCGCCCUUUGGCCAUUCCGAAGGGCAUGCCUGUUUGAGUAUCAUGAACACCUCAACUCUCAUGGCUCGCCAUGAUGAGCUUGGACUUUGGGGGUCUUGCUGGCCUGUGGUCGGCUCCUCUCAAAUGGAUCAGCUUGCCAGUGUUUGGUGGCAUCACAGGUGUGAUAACUAUCUGCGCUUGUGGUUUUCCAUCAGAUAACCUUCAGUGAUGGAGGUUCGCUGGAGCUCAUAAACGUCUCCCCUAAGCGGGGACAGACCUUUGAAUGUUUGAUCACAAAUCAGGUAGGACUACCCGCUGAACUUAAGCAUAUCAAUAAGCGGAGGA